rnacentral:tRNA from 1 species
GCUUUGAUGGCCGAGUGGUUAAGGCGUUUGUUUUGAAAUCCAAUGGGGUUUCCGCGCAGGUUCGAACCCUGAUCUCAGCG